rnacentral:sRNA from 1 species
GCCUGGCGUGAUGGCACUCGCCUGUAAUCCCAGCGACUCGGGAGGCUGAGGUAGGAGAAUUGGAGACUGAGGCAGGAGCAUUGCAAGUUCGAGACCAGCCUCAGCAACUUAUUGAGGCCCUAUCUCAA